GACGAACGCUGGCGGCGUGCCUAACACAUGCAAGUCGAACGGGACUUAGUGGAAUGCGGCUUCGGCCAAGUGAAGUUAAGUUUAGUGGCGAACGGGUGAGUAACGCGUGAGGAACCUGCCUUUCAGUGGGGGACAACAGUUGGAAACGACUGCUAAUACCGCAUGAUGCAUUUGGGCUGCAUGGUCUGAAUGCCAAAGAUUUUAUCGCUGAAAGAUGGCCUCGCGUCUGAUUAGCUAGUUGGUGAGGUAAAGGCUCACCUAGGCGACGAUCUCUAGCUGGUCUGAGAGGAUGAUCAGCCACAUUGGGACUGAGACACGGCCCAGACUCCUACGGGAGCAGCAGUAGGGAAUAUUGCACAAUGGAGGAAACUCUGAUGCAGCCAUGCCGCGUGUGUGAAGAAGGCCUUCGGUUGU
rnacentral:rRNA from 1 species